UUUCCAGGACAUCGUUCUGAACAUCACUCCAUCAGUCUCUGAUGGCAAACUGCAAACCUCCCUGGCUCUUGACAGCAUCAACCUGACACGUUUCCCCCCGAGUCUCGACGCUGCCUCUGCCUCCUCGCUCACAGAAUGGCUCAAGAAGGUCCUCACAGCUAUAUAUGUACCUUCUCUUAAAGAUGCCUUCCAAGUCUCAGUCCCACUGCCCAACGUCCUCAACACCAGCCUCAGGAAUGCUGAAGUUGACAUCACUGAUGUGGACGAGUUUUCCAGCCAGAGCACUCUACCGAGAUCUUGCUCGGGAGGAGCCUCGAUGCUGUUCCCUUUCUGAGGCAGCACAUGCACCCCAAACCCUGCUCUGCUCCACUUCCUCCCUCUUCCUUUCUCUCCAGCUCUGCCCUGUGCUCUGGCUGUGGCUUGAGCAGGACAAGCAGCAGCCUCUGGACAGCACCAGGGUGGGAAACCUGCUCGGCUGGUGGAUGUUUGGGGGUUCCUGUGGCCACUUUUAACAUCCAGAGCCAGGAAGCAGAGCUCUUGGGCACAAAGGUUGCCCCCAUAUUGCUCUUUCAAUAAAAUCUCUCA
ensembl:lncRNA